CAAAUGAACUGUUAGGUGAGACUCCUACGUAAAUAUACGCUGACGCCCAGCAACAUCCAGAGAUGCCAACGGGUUAAACAGGCACUGUCGAGUUAAGGCUUUCCCCAGUCAGCUAGUUGAACAGACUUCACGUUACGUAGUGUUAAAACUGAACGACGAGUAUAAAUC
rfam:Lactobacillus kefiranofaciens subsp. kefirgranum DSM 10550 = JCM 8572 strain DSM 10550 NODE_30, whole genome shotgun sequence.